GUAAACUGAGAGUGGGGGAAGCUAGCCCACUGGAUGUAGCCAAGGGUUCCUGCCUUCUUGAGUGUAGCUACACUGAGCUGUGACGGGCACCGGGGACAGGGAAGUACACAAAGACCCGAAGCCAAGCGUGCGGGCCUCGAGACUUUCGGCUCAGGGCACAAGUCUCCACUGUUUGCCAGCGGGGUGUUGUUGGGCAAGUCAUUUCAUUUCUCUUCUCUCUGUCCCAGUUUCCUGGUCUAUAAAAUGGAAACAACGAUAGUGCCCGCUUCGUGGAGCUCUUACAACGAUGAGGAAACAGAGGCCCUAGAAGAACUGUGAAGGGGAAAAAUCAGGACUGGACCACUGGAAUGCUGUGCUCCCGACUCCUCAUCGGGGCUCUCUCUGUCCUUCGGCUCAGAGAGGAGGCAUCGCCCCACGACAAGGUAGGGUUUCCUCCGCUGGAGACACAGCACAUUCUGACUCACCUAGAGAAUCAUGGCAUCUCGAGGCUACAAGAGACUUUACGGGGGUCAUCUGACCCGCUGCCAAUUUGAAAAUGGAGUUUGGUACGGCAGAUGUCUCCAACUUCAGACGAGAAACUGAGGUACGGAGAGUUUAAGCAACGUGCUCACAAGUUAUUUAGGCGCUGCGCUAGCUUUGAGGAGGGACGUCGUUUCUGUUGUUCGAGGCCACCCUGCUUCCCACCCAACACCGCGCUAAAGCUGCCCUCACCAGAGUUACCAGGAACCUCAAUGUGGAUCAGCCCCAGAGACACCUUCCAGGGACCUUCCUAGACCUCACGGCCCAUUAGAUGCCUUUGCCAAGUCAAGAUCAUCUCCCUUCUUUGGGAUGGCUGGGAAAGAACCCCAGGGCCCCAGGAUCAGACGUGGAGACGUGGAGGGGCUUACCGCCAGCCACCCCUCUGCUUGGCUCCCUGGAGGGGAGUGGGGAGGGCCCCUUCCCCUCAUCUCUGAUGAUUGAACCAAGUUCAUGUUCAGAAUGUAUAUAAAGUUAUUUGGGCCAAAUUUCCAUGUUAACUGUUCAGAGCAGAAAUGCUCAGUGUCAGUUAAAUUUGGUUAGAUUACAAGACAACACAGUCAAGAUCAAGAACAUGUGGCCUGAUUUGAUUUAACCCAGAGAAGAAAUGCCUUUUUCCUUCUGCUCAGCUAUAACAUUAUACAUAUAAAGAUACAUACGUGCUUGCUCUCUGCCAGAAAUGUCAACUGCUUUUGAUCUCUCCCUUUAGAUAUUAAAGUUUCCCCUGCUCACCCCUCUGGUUGGCGGGCCCCUUAAGGGCUUUCAAACCAGUAAACAAGCCUGGAGCUGUUGAGAGGGCGGAAGCUGUUUGCCUUUUGAGCUGGAGCCCCGUAGCCCAAAG